rnacentral:lncRNA from 10 species
CCCAGGAUUUGGAGUCAGAAGAUGCUGUCCUGGUUUACUCUCUCUGUUAACCAUGAGUCCUGGGGUAAUAGUGUAGCUGACAGAAAGAGCCUGGAUUUUAGAAUCAGGUAGCUCUUACUUAGAAUAACAACUCAGCCAAUCAGUGCAUGAUUUCAGGAAAUGUAAUCAACCUCCUCCAAGCCUUAGUUUCUCAGGCGUAAAAUGGAGAUAAUAAUAUGAACCUCACAGAGACGUUUGUGUAAAUUUAAUAACAUCAUGCAUGGAAAGUGCCCAGCACAAUUCCUGGUGUAGUGUACAUUCUCAGUAAAGCAUGGUCUCAGAUUUUACGUCUGUCAAAUCAUUGUAAUACUAUACUAUCAAAAUAUUUUAUAUUUAAGUCGUAAAUAGCAGUCUCCUCAAAUUCUAUCAUUCAUGUACCACUUUUGGGGUUUUGCCAUAUCUGUGCACCAAUGGUACUAAUAUUACUUAAUAUUUUUCUUUAACUGUACUCAUCUUUGAAAAAUGUAGCAUUUAUUUUAGUUGGUUUCAGGAAAAUUAGCAUAUUAUCCAUGAACUUGGGAGUAGUUGUACUGGUGAAUCUAGUAUGUUUAAAAAUCAAUACAUAAUUAUUAAAAUAGAAAACUAUGGCCACAUGCCCCCUGAAAUAAUCUCAUGAACCACCAUUGUAUGCCUACUACACUUUGGAAAACACUCAUUUACGUGAAAGUUUGUUAUUAUUAUAUUUUCAACCUUUCCUUUUCAGGACUUGGAAGCUAAGGCCCAGAGAGGAGGAGAAACUUGAUCAAAGUCAAUCAGACAAUGCAGAAUCGAGAAAAGUACCUGGACCUCUAUGCCCAUGCUUCUAGCAGCCAGCCUCCUAAAAUACCUCUAGUUGAAGCCAAAGUUAGAAUCCUUCUACGAAACUACAGGAUUAAAAUGGAAUGGUUACAUGACCCAGGCUUGACCAAUCAGAUCAUCCAAACCCUUUGCCACAGUGAUUGGUCCAGGGAUACAUGCAUGAGCCAGCUCAGGUAAAUGAGACUCAAUUAUAAGAAUUUUGUUAGCGCAAUUGGGAAAAAGAAGUUUUCUUUCCAUGAGAACUAUCAGCUAUAAGAAUGUUGGAUGCUUCCAUCUGCUGGAGUCCAUGAAGA